rnacentral:lncRNA from 1 species
GGGCAUCAACCAUAUAGACUAUGAGACCGAGUACCGAACAGAAUGGUGCCGGACCAACUCAACAUUCGUUCCUUGUUUUCUAUUCGCCCGGAAGUUCUCACGAGGAGCUGCCAUGCGCCUAUUGAGUGAUGGUGUUGCUGGUCCAUUUGAUGCCUCUUCCAUGUUAGCCAGGUCCGCCCCUGAUUAGGAACAGUGACAUUUCUCCCGGCAAUCUUAGCCCUAAACCUACCCACUUCAAUACAGUUGCAGCAGCUAGAGCACGCCCACGGAUAAACACAUGAUUCUAUACAUAGAUUAGAUAUCCAUACAAUAGUAGAAGAAUAUUAUCUGCUGCUGCUGAUUAAUUUUCAAGGAAAUGAGUUAGAAGUUAACAUUUUAAGGUUUGAUCCUAUCAUUAAGGUCACUUAGCAUUCUGAUCUUUACAUGGUUUACAGAGGUGGGAAACUAAUCCUUGUCCUGUCUGCGCAGUGCUACUGUUGUAGAAAGAGAAUUUUGUGUCAUUACUUGAAUACUUGACAUACUACUUUAUAAGAGAUUAUUUAACAAUGACUUAAAAUCACGUUUAUUUAUUUUUCCCAAUCUAUUGAUGACUUCUGUAUCGUUUAUAUAUAUAUUUGCGAUGAGUUAUAUUAAUAUUCUAACAGUAUAAAAGAUGACUGAUGCGGGAGAAUCUGAAAGAAGAAUUGUCAAAUUCAGUUGUUUUUGUAAAAAGUAAACAAUAUAUGAUUAGUUAAAAAGAACUGAAUUCCAUGCUCCUAUUGUGAUCAAAAGGAAGAGGAAUCAGCGAUCAUUAAUCGAAUUCAUGAACAAAUUAUAUAUUGAACUUUGAUUUUAUUAUUUAAUUUGAUAAAUUUCAAUCUAAAUUGAUCUUUAAAUUUCUAUUUUUACUAAUUAUAUUUUAUUUUCACAAUAAAAACAUAUUGUAAAAAUUUAAUAUAAUCAAAUCAAAUUUUAAUUAAAAAAAUAUAUAUUCAAAAUAUAAAACUCUCUUAACUAUAUUUUGGAGACACACCAACUUAUUUUUAAAUGGAAGUAAACUUAUCUCAAUAAGGGUAUUUGUAGAAAUAAUUUUUUUUUACUAAUUCAAUUUUGCCAUGUGUUAUUUUAAUUUUAUUUUACAUAAAAGAUGAAAUAAAAUUUAAAAAUAACAUGAAAAAUAAAUAGAUAUUUAUAUAUAUAUAUGUUGACCAAUAAAAGGUUGAUAUGUAAGAUGUGAUAUUUAAUAUAUUUUUCUUAAAAAUACAAGAUCUUAUAAAUAAAAAUUAAUAAUAAAAUAAUAUCAUAUAACAUUAAAAAAAUAAAAACCCUUACAAACUUUUUAAAAUAAAAAGUCUCACCCUACACACAUAAAGGAGAAAGAUUCCUGAAUAUACAAAACUAUAUUCAAUACUUUGUUCAUUUAGUCUAAAAAAAAAACCUAAAAUAAUAGAAUUUCCAGACCUUUCUUUGCAAAAUACCAACAAGUGAAAUUGCCAUCAUAUAAAAAAAAACGGAAAGCACAAUAAUAAUUUCUAAAAAUAUGAGAAGCUAUUUCUACUUUGGCUACGUGUGCAUCAUCAUCGUCGUCGUCGUCGCUACUGUUGUGGGCAUUUUCAUCCUUUGAUUGGAUAUCAUCAUCAUUUCCUUCCUCUUCAUACAACCACUGUACACCAAUCCUCCUUAUUUGAAAAGCUGGAUGAUGUUGAAGCACUGAAAUACUCACGUCAUCACCAUUAUCAAAUGUACGAUCACCGACCCCUAAUUUCCUAUGCAUUAGCGAUUGGAAUUCACGAACACGACGCUUGUAAAUCAUAGGGAAGACGAAGGCUCGACAACACAAGGAUCGACCUCUGGUAUUGUUUUUGAUUUCAAGAUAAACAUGACUAGAGCCACUGUAUUCUGACGUCACACAGAACCUUGUGAACAGAUUAAAGCCACAUAUCCGGCGCGUACCAGCUGAGGAUAUUUUGAAUGAAAAGUUAUCUACAAACUCAUUCUGAAUUAGCCAUUUAUCCUCUUCUUCCUCCUCAUAAAACCACCUUAACAUCUCAUCUUCAAAUGCAUAUGCGACAACGUUGAAUAUGCCAUAUAAAAAUGUUAUCUGUACAGCCAAAACAAUGUCUAUAAAAUGAGCAAAAGAAAAAUUCAAAUGUAGAUUUCAAAGACAAUAAAUGGGUGAGGGAGGACCUGAAAUCUCGAUGGCUGUAUUUGAGCACAAACCGUUUCCAUUAUUCGAACAUGCGUGAGUCAAACUUUUGAUUAAUUCUUGCUUUAUCCAAUCUUGGAACUCGACAAAUUGAUCACAACCAUCUGCUUUAGUACAUUUGUUUAGAUUUGCAAGUCUUUGCAGUGAAUAGCAAAAGACACAUCUAACGAAAUAAAUGGGAUGGAAGCUCUGGGAGUGCCUGAAGCAUUUUGCAAUUUCUUAAAUGUAGGUACUGAGUAGACCAAGAUCCUUGAUGCUUUCUGGAAGAGAACGAAUUGUUGUUCCACUUAAAUCUAGUCUCUCAAGGAGCGUGGCAGUGAAAACGAGGUAAAUCUCAACAUUUUCCUCGCUGAAAACCUAGAGGGAAAGAAUAGCUUCAAUGGAAGAGAUGUAAUGUAUAAUGUACUUGCAACAAUUCCAUCACUUUGAAGCAAGUUGCGCCCCUGAUGAUGCUCUAACACCAUAUUCAUCAGACUGCAAGAUUUGAGCAACCAUCUAAAACCAGCUCUUGAAGUGAAUUCAAUCUACUCAUUUCUUCUGGAAGCUCCAUAAGACUUGUACAAUUUCUUAGAUUUAAGAUCAAAAGUCUUUGUAGAUCACCAAUAGAUUCGUGAAUUUGAACUAAACAUAUGCAGUCUUCAAGUAUUAGCUUUUCAAGGACCGGGAGACCUGAGAAGUCUGGGGUUCUAAUGAGAUCAUGAGAGUGACGGAGAUCAAGAAUUUUCAAUUUUGGAAGAAACUGCGAAAAUACAUGAAUUUAGUUGUUAUCAAUUGAAAACGAGAGAGAUAGCUAUAAAGAAAGACUCGAUACAUACCGGUUUGCCUUUCCAAGCAUCAACUAGACAGCUUCUGGAUAGAUCAAGAACCACCAGCUUCUCCAACCAUACGUGAUUUGGUAUGGAUCUCAAAGAGAAUCCAUGCCAACAUAACCAUAUCAAAUUUUUGGGAAAGUGCUCAAAACUUCCAUGAAAAUUAGUGUAGUUUAGUUGGAGAAAUUUUACAUCUGUCAUCUUUGUAAAAGCAUCGGUGCUGAGGAUAGGAAACAAACUUGUUUGUAAUUUCCCCCAUCGGAAAAAUCAGAAAGCCAUUGUUGAAAGAAGUUAAGCCUGCGACGCUUGCGGCGAACCACUGAAUUAGUACAGACAACUUCUGCAUAAUUAUCUUCCAUUAAUGCAUGCAUAUCAAUGGUAAGGCCACGCAAUUUUUCAGCAUCCUGCAUAAUAAUAUUAAAAGUACAUGAGAAAGGAAAGUAAAAGAAUGAAUAUGUUAAGGCACCACAAACCAUUUAAGUAGACAGAAAAAAGUUUAGGUACUUACAGUAGUUCCUUUCAAAAUUGUAAAAGCGUCCUCGGGGCGCCAUAUUCUUUGACAUUUGGGUGAUUCUUGAUGAGCAAUUUCCCUUCCCAUAUCUCUUACUAGUUGAUGCAUCCACAACCUUUUAUCAUUGUUGAUUUCCACAAUGCAUCUAUCAAUAAGUUUGUCAAUCCUAAAUCUUGCACCUAUACCGAGCCCAUCUAGUAUCGUAACUGCAUAAUCCACAUCCAUUCCAUUGAAGAAACAAGCAAUAUCAAGGAAUAUGCUUUUUUGAUAAUCAUCAUCUAGAGAGUGGUAACUUAUUUCAAGAACAUUUUGAACUUCACAAUUAGGAAUCACUGCCAAUUCCUGUAAUGCGCUUCCCCAUAAUUUUCUUCCUUUCCCUGACAAUGAAGAACCAAUAACACGAAGAGCUAAUGGAAGUCCAUUACAAUGAUGCACUAUUCUCCAAGAGUCCUCCACAAAACCUUCAACAGGGUAAGCUUGUCCAAAGGCAUGCCAGCUGAAAAGCUCGAGUGAUUUUUUGUUGUCUAGAGGUUCAACUUUGCACUUGACAAACUCAUCAUUAGCUGCAAUUAGACCCUUAUUUCUAGUUGUUACAAUGAUUUUACACCCUUUACAAAGCCAUUCUUGCACGCCUAUGAUUGCAUUGAAUUGGUCCCUAUUGUCCACAUCAUCAAGAACAAUAAGAGUUCUUCUGCAACACAAGGCAUCCUUAAUCUUUAAAAUUCCUUCAUCAACAUCUUGUAUCUCAUCAACGGUCUUGUUUAGGAUAUCAGAAAGAAGUUGCCUCUGUAGGCAAACUACACCUUUGGAUUCUUUUGAGAUUUCUCUAACAUUUGAUAGAUAGCUCCUGCAUUCAAAUUUACAAAAGUUCUGAUUAAAAACACUCUUUGCUAUAGCUGUCUUCCCAACUCCACCAAUUCCAUAGAGAAUAGCAGUGGCAGCAUCAUGGGACUCAUCUUGCAACCAUGAGUUGAUAUAAUUUACUAGAGGAUCUCUUCCAAUGAAAUGAAGGGGUACAUGAAAUAUUUUUCGAUCCAAGUUCUUGGAGACCUUCUCCACAAUACAUUGGACAAGCAGUGCCUCGUAUCUACAUCAAAAAUAAAAAUAUAGUAUGAUAUUUAGUAGUUUCUCUAGAAAGUAUAGAAAUCUCAGUAUUUUUCAAGAAAAUUAAUAAUGUAGAAUCAUUACAUUUUAAACUAGACAAGAAGGAAGAGAACAGAAGACAAGGAAAAAGUAUCUUCUAUUUUUAUUUGUCUUCUAUGCUAUCUGAGUUUGGAGUGGUAUGGUUUUUCUAAAUUAGGAGUGGUAUUAUCAGUCAUCCUCUAAAUACUUGCAAAACAAAACAAAUUAAGAGUUCACAAUCAGCAUUCUAGUCUUAUGCUAGGUGUAGUUUCAUAAAGAGAUACAACCUACCCAUCUCCUAAAACCAUUCCAGCUAAAUCGGCCACUUCCUUCAAAGCAAUCCUCCACCCGUUCACCCUCUCCAUCUCCUCCUUGAAGCGCUUUUCAUGCUCCACAAAUGCUGCGGCAAAGCUCCCUGUUUGCUUUCCGACUUGGGAUGGAUCCACAUGAUAGAAUACCGGCAAAACUCUGCAGUCUGCAGUCCUCCUGCGUUCCAUGAUCAUUACAAGUUCAUCAAGGCACCACCUCGAAGAAGCAUAGUCUUUGGAGAACACGAUUAUCGCAAUUUUUGAUUGCUGUAUUGCCUUCAGGAGCUCCGAUUCGAUGUUCUCUCCUCUGCCAAUUUCAUCAUCAUCUCUAAAUGUGUGAAUCCCUGCUUGAACAAGGGCUGUGUAGAGGUGAUCAGUAAAAUUCUUGCGAGUGUCUUCGCCUCUGAAACUCAAGAACACUUGAUAUUUACAAUGAGAAAACCGUGAAGAUGAGGAUGCUUGAUAUUUUCGCAGCAGCCAUUCCAAAUACAGAGAUAGAAAAUCUUCGAGAAGAUCUGAACCAACAUAAGAAAACAGGGCAAGAGUUGGAGCUAAAGUAAACAUCAUUUACAUUAGAGUUAUAUUCCAUAAAAUAACACACAGGAGAUAAGAAAGAGAGUGGGAGAGAGUACCUGAAAGUUUCUCUUUCCCUUAUCUCUUAGUUGUGGUUGCAGUUCCGUAUCAGUUAAUCUAUAGUAUUCUGCUCUAAGCGAUGUCUAUGGAACGCUACUGCGUGAGGAUGCCGGCACAAAGUGCAAAUGAAAGAAGAACAGAAACAUAAAAAUAAUUUUCGUAGAUGACUUCUUACGCGGACAACACAACCAAGUCCAAGUAUUCAAUUUAUAAAUUGUUCGCAAUGUCUUUAAUUUCUUGAACACUUUCAAGUGUUCUAAUGGUGAAGUCACAAAGUGGGAAAAAGAAACCAAAACAUAAAAAAAUAAUUUUCGUAGAUGACUUCUUACGCGGAAAAGACAACCAAGUCUUCGAUUUUGAAUUUGGUAGGAUAUUAUGCUGGCAAUUUCUUCAACACUUUUCAAGUUUUUUAUUUAAAUUCUAGAAUUGAAAAAAGAGAGAAGAAGGAUCGUAAGACUGGGCCUAGAACCAAGCGUCAUCAGUCGAAUCGAAAGCUUAUUUGCCUGCUCACUUAAUGGAAGGUCUACAGAUUAGUUGUUUGGUGGAAGAUCAAUAGAAAAUCCAGGUUUCUUAUAUCCAAGAAUGCUGUUCUCAAAUCUGUCACUUUUAGCUGAUGCACUGUGAUUUUUCCAUAACCAAAGUCAACACAAUUGCUUUAAAUGCAAUGGUAUAAUGCAGAUGGCAGUUCUUACAUUGACACAAAGGAGAGCCAUAGGUAACCAAAGCAUAGCACUUGAACAAUUUGAAGCAAACAAAACUGGACAUAUUUAUUGAGUAAACUUAACUAGGAUCAAAACUCAUCUUUUAUUUCCUCAGACCUAAUCUAUUCAAACUUUUGAUUAACCUGAGACCUCAUGAUGCGUUCUCUCCAUCCUUUCUCGCGAGCCCUGAGCUUCCGCCUCGCAAGCUAUUCAUUCCAGAAUUGCAUUUCUCUGCCUCUUCUGAUACAGGGAUGUCUUCUUUAGCCUCCAACAGCGCGAAGUCUGCACGCUGCUGUUUUUCCUGAGCUUCUUCUUCACUAACCUCAGUUCAUCUUUCAACAUGUUUGUUAAACUUUUCCAUCUCACGGCUCACUUCAGGAUCAUGCUUCAUGCACUCUAAAAGGGUACAAAGUCAAGAACAGAAGAUGUCAAAGGUCAAGAGAUGGUAUAACCUACUAUAGAUCACGUCACUCAACAGGCAGAAUCACAUUAACCAUCUUUCUUCGCAUCUCAUAAACGUCAGUACUAGAAUUUUUCAGAAAUUAAGCACGUAUUCGAUUGGUUAUUUGUGUGCACACAAAACAUGUUACCAUUGACACCCUAACAAGCCAUUUUAGAUGUCUGAAGAUUCCAGAACAUCAUGUUCUUCAGCAGAAAGAAAGGGCUUUUUUUUUUUUUUAAUUCACUGACACCUAUUGGCUUCUUUCUUUUGAUUUUAAAACUAAUUUUCAUGUGUUAUUUUUCUCAAUUAAUGUAAUGUUCUUAUCUAUAGCAAUUAUCUAUUUUUUAAAUCUUUUAUUGCCUUUUCAAACACUAUAAGUUCACAUAUGACAAGAUGACAAUAUAAUUAAUGUUAGAUCGUCAUCAAUUGGUUUAUUAUUUUAUACAAGUCAUCAAGACUCUUCAUUUUUUUGGUGGACUAAGUGGGCUACGCUACUUGAAUUUCCACAAGAAUAAUAAGAUAAAUGUAAAGUUAAGUUCAUUGGUGAUUGUGAGUGUAACAAGUUUUUGAUGACAUUCAUAUCUCACCUUCUUUUUAUCAAGAACUAGUAGAAAGUUAUACUUCUCAUUUUUAUUUACCUUCAAUUCCAUGCUCCUUCUUCAUCAAAUUCAAUGUCCCUACUAAUAUAUUUUUUUUUUACUGGAGUUGUAAAGUUUGUAUCCUUUAAACUUGUGAUCAUUUCCCACAAAGAUCAUCAUUUUGCUCUUAUCAUCUAGCUUGGUCUUUACUUGAUUAUCUACAUGCACAUUACCAAUGCUUCUAAACAUCUUUAAGUGAGUAGCACUUGACUUUUUUACAUUCAUGUUUUUUAUGGAGUCAUGCCAUUCAAUUCUUUUAUAAGACAACUAUUUGACAAAUAAACAAUACAAUCUACAACUUCAGCUCAAAACUCAUUUGUAUUUUCUUGGUUUUAACAUUUCUUGUCAUGUUAAGUUGUAAUCCAAUUUUGACCCUUUUUUUGUAUAUAUUUUGAAAAAAUUACAAAAAUUCAAAAAAUAUUUCUUUUCAAUAAUUCAAAUAAUUUUGACCCUUAUUUUUUAUUUAAUUUUUAUGUGUGAAACAAAUCUUGAAAAAAAAAAAAUAUACAAAAUACAAAAAUAGAUAGGGUUGAAAUUGGAUUGAUAAUCAAGUACCAUAGGAAAAAAUGAGGCUUGAGAUUUUUUGGGUUAUAAUUGAGGUUUGAAUUGAAAAGAAAUUAAAAAUGGCUUAAUUGGGUAAGUUGGUUUAAUUUGGCUAAGAUUGAAAGACAUUUGAAGUUCAAGGCUGAUUUAGCCAAAUUAGAAAUCAAUAAAGGACUUAAUUGAAGAAGAAAAUCAGAAUUGAAAGUUAAAUUAAUUAAAAUAGUAUAAUUCUUGGAACCAUUGUUAAAUCUGAAGAUCUAAAUUGAUUCAAUUUAAGAUACAAUUGAAAAGGAAAAGAUGAUUUAGGGCAAAUUAAAUGAGAUUGGAAAAAUUCAAAAUCCAAGUACUUAAUGAGAACAAAGUAUGUUUAUCUGAAUUUUUAUUUCAAUCCAUUUGAUUCAAUUUAGUCCAAUUUGAUUAAUUGAUUUCGAUCAUAUCAGUCUAAUUGAAUUAAUUCGAUUCAAUUUAAUCCCUAAUUAAUUCAUGAUUUCUUUCCUAAUUGUCCAACAUCCUAGUUUCCAAUAAAUUAACCAGCAAAUUAUAGCCAAAAUUUAUUGUCUAUAAUCAAUUAUUUAGCAAUCAAACCCAUUUUGAUCUCUCAAAUCCAGCUCCAAAAAUUUAGCCCCAAAUUGAUUUCUUCAAUCAAUUCCCAAAAUCCCAGCCUUUCCUCUCCAUUUUAAACACCAGCACAAGCAAGACAAGACAAAAAAAAAAAAAAAAAAAAAACAAACCUUUCAUGGUCCCAGGUCAGCUCCACCCUUUUCCAUUAACCCAGACCAACACCCACCUUUCCUCCAUAAAAUCCACCAAAGUCAGCCCAUUCUUCUUCCCUGAACAAAACCCCGACCACCAACGUCCAACCCAGUCACUCUCCAUUCACCCAAAACAAACACCAUCAGAGAAAGAACACUGAAAAAAUCCAGUUCCACAACGCAGCACAAUCAAUUUCCCACAACCACCAUCUACACAGCGGUGAUCUUCCAUCCCACCUUCUCAAAACCGAUCCCAAUCUUCCCGCUCUUUCAACCACACCAGUCAAUCAAACCAUCCUCUCUUCUACUCCAAUCAGCCACCAUCUCAAUCCUUCUUCGCACAGUCCAAACAAAAAUCAAAAUCAUUUACAGCCUCUCAACCGUGAGCCCCAGAAGCCUCUCCCACGGUAGUGUUCAACCCAUACCAGCCUUCCCUCUCAUUUUGGCCUCCCACACCGAGAACCACCCUGUAUAUAUCCUGCAACAACAAUUGAAUUGAAUCGAAUCAUAUAAAAAUAUAAUAGUUUAAAAGAAAAUUCCAUUUCUUUGUUUGAAGACAAGGACAAAAUAACCCCCACCGAGAACCACCUUGUAUAUGGUUUUUUUUUUUUUUUUUCCAUCAGAUUUUUUUUUUAAUUUCGAACACAAUAAUGGAAUUACAACAUUUUUUAGUACAUAAUCUUCAUAUAAACUAAAAUUAUUAGGAUUCGAGUCUACUUCGCUAAGAAACUAUUACCUAUAUAAUUGGGCUACAAUUACUCGAAUAAACAAUCUUCUGCUUCAAAUAUUUGCAUACUCUCCCUCUGCAAUUUGUCCUUUGCGUAUCAAUGUAUGCAAUUAUGUUUGGUUAAUAAAGAGACAUGAUGAUUACAAAUGAGAGGAAAACAAAAAAAAACAAAAAGAUGCACAACCCAGCAGCUAGGGGUUUUCUCCUUUUCCCUUUAAAAAGAUAUAUUUAGAAUUCCUUAUACAUUACAAAAAAAAAAAAGAAAAAGAAAUGAAGUUAAUUGCACGUAUGUUUUAAAAAAGAAAGAAAAAUAUGUCAUUAGGACAUAAAUCUGAGUAGGACAAAUAAGUUUGCUUUAAUUUAAUUAGACAAAAUAAAAUAAAAAAGAUAGCAGAUGCAUUCAUUGUCUAUUAAAUACAAAAAAACAAAACAAGAUAAAAAAUAAUAUAAAACACCAAUCUUAGUCGACUUGGUUAGCAUAACAAACCUAUAAUCCUGAUAACCUGUGAGCCAACUCGAGAUAUCUCACCUAACCCGUGUUAACUUUAUAAACUUGUGAUCCGGAUUAUUAAGCUAGAGCAUCAAAUUUGAAAAAACUAAAAAGUCCAAUUCAAAUAAAUCAAAUAUUAAAAGAUAAAUUAAAUUUUUUAAAUAUAUAUAAGAAUUAAAAAAAAAUAGCAAUUAAAAGAAGAAGGAUCAAAAUUUUAAAUUUUUUUUUAUUUGAUUGAAAGGUGAAAUUAAAAAGAAAAAUUAAUUUAGUAAAAGGACCAAAAAAUCAUAAGAAUGAGCAUAAAAAAACAAUGUUUUGAUUGAAGAAAGAAAUUGAAAAGAAUGAAUUUUUUUCCAAAAGGGCUAAAAUUAGAAAUCACAACAAGGAGGAUCAAAUUGGAAAAUAUUAUACCAUUAAUUUGAAUUGUAAGAAAAAAUCAAAAACCAAUAAAACUUUUACAAAAGGAUUAAAGAGAAAAAUUAAAAAUCAAAAGAAGGAUAAAUUUAGACAAUAUAAUAUUUUGUCAAUUGGGAUUGGAAAACGAAAUUAAAAGCAAAUAAAACUUCUACAACAUAUUAGGACUAAAAAUUAAAAAUCAAAAGAAUAAGAUCUAAAGUUAAAAUAUUAAGAACAUAGAGGGCCAAGUUGCAAUUUUUUAGGGAGGAAAGAGAAAAAUAAUAAUAAAAAAUCCAUCGGUGACAUGCGUCACACCAAUAGAAAUAUGACACAACAAUGCUUUCGAUGACAAGACAUAAAAUCAUUUUUAGACACUGGGAAAUGUUGUACAUGCUACCUAAAGUACGCAUGCCCAUCUCUUGCACCUCUUGGUGCUGUACACAUGCACAUAUAUUUUUUUAUCUAACCAAAUACAAAAUUACCCGGAACUGACUUUGUAAUUAUAAAAAAACCAUUGUGAAAAGUUGAAAAUAUCCCUUGACUCUAGACUUUUUUAAAGGGUAUUUUCAUUAUUUCAAUGUGAAUUUUAAUUUUUUUUAUAUUUUGUCAAAUACCAAAUUUCCUCUCAGUUUAAAUUAUAAUAACUGAAAAACUAUUAUGAAAAUGGAAAAAACCCUUUAAUACCAAGUUUUUUUUUUCUUUUAAGGGUAUUCAAGUCAUUUUACUGUAUAAUAAAGAUAAGAAAUUACUUAUUUUCCCUACUGUAUUUGAUAAUGAGAAAUGGGCCAAGUGAAAUUCAAUACACUUGAAAACUUGGGUUAAGUUUUUUGGGUGAAGGAGAAAAAACAUCAUUCUACUGUUGUAAUUAAUAAUGACAAUGAGUUUAGAGAUACAAUAUUUUGACAAGGGAUUUUAGCUCCUUUUAAUAUAAUUUUUCUAACAAAAUGUUUUUCCUUAGAUAGCUAUAUAUAUGUCAUUAUAAUAGUAGGAUACUGAUUUGUUGAUAUGGAAAGCUAAAAAUUGUGAGGAGUUGAGAAAUGAAAUUCUUUACAACUCUAUAUUUAUAUAAAAUGAUAAAAUAACCUUAUUUUGCAAUUAUUAUUUUUUUAUUUGAAAUUGAUGAUACUAGAAAAGAAAUUAUCUACGUCUAAUUAUAAUAAGUACUUAAAUUAUAUAAGCGAAGCAUAAUAAAAGUUAAUUUUAUUUCAGUCAUAAUGUUAAAUCUUAUAAACAAAGAUGACAAUGGAUAAGGGUUGAGGCUGGCCUUUUUCUACAAUUGCUCCCAUCAUCUUUUGAAUUAUUUCUGGUUUUAGAGAUUCAGGCUCCGCUUGAUUUCUGGUUUUAGACUAAAGCAUUAGCCAUGAAUAGAAAGUGCUUCCAUAACGGUUUUUCAAGUUUGUCAAACACGUAGGGUUUGCUUGAGAAAAAUGAAAAAAAGGAAAGUCGGCUGAAGAUUGUAAUCUAAGUUGACAAAUUUUGAUUGCAAGUUGCAAUGACCAAUUUAAUCUGAGCUAAAACAAAAGGGUUUAGUUUUCUUAAAUUCAUUACCGAUGGUUUUUAUUUUUAUUUUCAAACAUUAUAUAUAUAUAUAUAUAUAUAUAUAUAUUAGGAGGGUAAACACCGUAUAUUAGGAGUGAAAACAAUAAUUUCAUGGUUUUUUCAUGUCCAUAAAACAAAUUAUUAGGGGCAUUAAGAUAUUUUCAAUAGAUAUAUUUUUCAUUACCAAAUUUAUUAGGGAUAAAUAACCUUUUCAUACUUCAAGUGAACACUAAAAUAACGAAAAUACUCUUGAAAAAAAAUUAAAAUUUAUCUUCAAGGGGUUUUUUUAUAUUUUCACAAUGGUUUUGUAUUUCAAGACAAGGGCUAACGUGUCGAGAGGCACUCACGCUCUUUGGGAAGCAAGGGCAAUGCUUUUCAGUAGCUAAAAUCUGCCUUACAUUAAUAGUUAGAAGCAUUGCUUUAUCAUUUUCUUUUCGGGAUAGCGUGUCUAGUUGGUAAUGGUAGUUUGUCGUUGAUGAUACCAUCUCUAUUUCUCCAUUUUUUUCUUUCUUAUCCUCUCAAUAUAUAUUCACGUUAAUCAUGCAAAAUUUUUAGAGUUGUCUUCUAAUUUAUGAGGAUUUUUACUUCGGUCCUUAUUCUUUUCUUUUCUAUUUUUUAUUCUUGGUUCUUUUGAAAAACAUUUAUUGUUUUUUCAAUUGCAUCAUUCAAUCUCAAUUUAUGAUAUGUUAUUUUUUUUUAUUUUGAUCCUCAUUCUUUUGAUUAUUUUUUUGGAAUCCUUUUGUUAAAUUGAUUUUUUAUUUUAAUUUCUUCCUUAAUCAAAAAAUUAAUUUUAUUUUUUAUUUGAAUUUUGAUCUUCAUUCACUUGAUUUUUUUUUAUCCUUUAGUUAAAUUGAUUUUUCUUUUCAAUUUCACCCCUCAAUGAAAACUAAGUUUUAUUUUAUAUUUUAACUUUGAUCCUCAUUCUUUUAAUUAUUAUUUUUCUGUUUUAAAUCCUUUUGUACAACUGAUUAUUUUUUUUUAAUUUUCAUCCUUGAACAUUGGAUUGAUAUUUGGCGAGAUAAUUCAAGUUGGCUCAACUCUUAUUAUUGUGGUUAUAUGCAUGUUAUGCCAACUCGAGUUGAUUUAAGUUAUUUUUUUUUGGGAUUUUUAUCCAAUUUAAUCUUUUUUUGUAUUUAAUGAGAUGUGAAUUAAAUUACAUUGUUUGUCUCUUUUUGAAAAAAAGUUCUUUCUUGGGUGAUCAUGAUAAUUUUUUUUUUUAAAUUUGGUUGAUCGUUGUUAUUGUCUAUUUUUCUAUCAUCUAAUUAAAAUAAAAUCAACUUAUUUGACCUAGUUGGGUCUAUGACAUGAGUCAUGAACUUUCUUUUUCUUUUUUAAAACAUAUUUGGCACACUUGAACAUAAUUUGCAAAACAAAUACUAAUAAUUUGGCUCCGCGGCGAAACACGGGUCCACACCUAGUGAGAACCUAAAACUAAUGAGGAGUUAAGAAAUGAAAUUCUUGGCAACUCUAUAUUUAUAUAAAAUGACGAAAACAACCUAAUUUGGCAACUUUUUAAAAAAAAAUUUGAAAUUGAUGAUAAUAUUAAAUCUAAAACUAAAAAAUAAAGUAUCUAUACCUUUUUUUUUAAUAUCAUGGACACACUUUUGGACACGACCAACGGGCGGGUGACCACUCCUAAAAGCCAAACUAUAGAGGAGAGCCCGUCAACUCAAGGUUCUCAAUAAUAACACAUUUACAUGUGGGUUGGAAAAUGUAAGUGGUAGAAUUCAAACCAGAGGCCCCCCCCCCCUCCCCCCCAACUUGACCAUAUCCAAUUUAGCUACCAGCUCACUCUAAGAAAUUAUCUAUAUGUAAUUAUAAAAAAAAGUAUUUAAAUUAUAUAAGCGAAGCAUAAUAAAAGUAUUAGAUCAAUGAUAAAUCUUAUAAACAAGAUGGCAGUGGAUAAGGGUGAAGGCUUGCUUUUUCUACAAUUGCUCCAAUCCAAAAAACCCAAGCCCGUCAUCUUCUGAAUUGUUUCAGGUUUUAGAGAUUCAGGCUCCGGUUGACAUAUGGUUUUAUACUAAAGCAAUUUAGCCAUGAUCUGAAAGUGCUCCUAUAACGGUUUUUCAAGUUUGUCAAAGACGUAGGGUUUGCUUGAGAAAAAUGAAACAAGAAAAGUCAGCUGAAGAUGUUCGCUGAAAAAUUAGUUUGACAAAUUUUGUUUGCACGUUGCAAUGACCAAUUUAAUGUAAGUUUGAAAAAUGAAACCGAAAGCUUUAGUUUUGUUAAAUUCAUUAUUGAUGGUAGUUUUUAGUAAGUUAUUUGUGUAAAAACGGAUGCAAGCCAAUCUUAAUAGCCAUCAUAACAGGAGAUUAAUGCGCCUAUUGAGUGAUGGUGUUGCCGGUCCAUUUGAUGCCUCUUCCAUGUUAGCCAGGUCCGCCCCUGAUUAGGAACAGUGACAUUUCUCUCGGCACUCUUAGCCCUCAACCUACCCACUUCACAUACAGUUGCAGCAGCUAGAGCUCGCCCACGGAUAAACA